UGGGGAAUAUUGGACAAUGGGGGCAACCCUGAUCCAGCCAUGCCGCGUGUGUGAAGAAGGCCUUUUGGUUGUAAAGCACUUUAAGCAGGGAGGAGAGGCUAAUGGUUAAUACCCAUUAGAUUAGACGUUACCUGCAGAAUAAGCACCGGCUAACUCUGUGCCAGCAGCCGCGGUAAUACAGAGGGUGCGAGCGUUAAUCGGAAUUACUGGGCGUAAAGCGAGUGUAGGUGGCUCAUUAAGUCACAUGUGAAAUCCCCGGGCUUAACCUGGGAACUGCAUGUGAUACUGGUGGUGCUAGAAUAUGUGAGAGGGAAGUAGAAUUCCCAGGUGUAGCGGUGAAAUGCGUAGAGAUCUGGAGGAAUACCGAUGGCGAAGGCAGCUUCCUGGCAUAAUAUUGACACUGAGAUUCGAAAGCGUGGGUAGCAAACAGGAUUAGAUACCCUGGUAGUCCACGCCGUAAAACGAUGUCUACUAGCCGUUGGGGUCCUUGAGACUUUAGUGGCGCCGUUAACGCGAUAAGUAGACCGCCUGGGGGAGUACGGCC
rnacentral:rRNA from 1 species